rnacentral:rRNA from 1 species
CCUACGGGUGGCUGCAGUGGGGAAUCUUGCGCAAUGCGCGAAAGCGUGACGCAGCAACGCCGCGUGGGGAAGAAGGCCUUCGGGUUGUAAACCCCUUUCAGUUGGGACGAAGCUUCGACGGUGAAUAGCCGUCUGGAGUGACGGUACCUUCAGAAGAAGCCCCGGCUAACUACGUGCCAGCAGCCGCGGUAAUACGUAGGGGGCUAGCGUUGUCCGGAAUCAUUGGGCGUAAAGCGCGUGUAGGCGGCCCGGUAAGUCCGCUGUGAAAGUCGGGGGCUCAACCCUCGAAUGCCGGUGGAUACUGUCGGGCUAGAGUACGGAAGAGGCGAGUGGAAUUCCUGGUGUAGCGGUGAAAUGCGCAGAUAUCAGGAGGAACACCAAUUGCGAAGGCAGCUCGCUGGGACGUCACUGACGCUGAGACGCGAAAGCGUGGGGGGCAAACAGGAUUAGAUACCCUUGUAGUC